AGGCUGCACUGGCGCUCGGGUCGCCGCACCGCCCCACAGCCUCACGCUCUCGCUCUCCGCAGUGACGGCAACCGCAACCGCAGCAGCACCCAGCUCCAUCUUUACCCGCCUGGCCCGAGCCGCAGCUGGCGGGAACCUAGCGAUUCGGGCUGAGGAGGACGAGCGGAAGACGCAGUGAAGGUGUCCCAGCCCCACCCCACCCCACGCCAUUGGCCGAAGCGCAAGAAGCAAAGAGUGGGCUAGACGCGCUGUUGCUGUUGCACCGAGGGAGCGAAGAAGGGAACAAGAGAGCGUGAUGGAGCGGUGCAGGCAGGUGUAGGAUUGAACCUCCCGAGUCCGCUCAGAGGACUUUGUCAGGGCCUGGGGCUGCUAGGGUGGCUUCAAGGGAUCGGAGGGCUCGGACCACUGCAGAUGCGGCGCAUGUGGGCGCGGCGAAAGCUCCCCCUUCUCCCAGGAUCUAAACGGAUAAACGGAAGCGCGUAUCUGCCUUUGCUUUGGACUGGCUGAAACACUGCGGACUGCAACCAAUGUCUUUUAAAGGAGAACAAAAAGAUGAGGCUCUUGUGCGGACUCGGGACAAAGCGUCUUGGGCUCGGUGACAAGGGACGCGCGGAACUCUGGCUCCCCGAUUGGAGAGAUCGACACAGCCCAAGGGCACCCCGCAGGGCUUGCGGACCUCUGAGGCGAGAGGACCACAGCAGGAGAGUUCCGGAAGGCUGAUUCCCAUAGAUUCUGGUAGCGGCUGCUGCAGCUCAACCCUGCGGCACGCCCGGCCAGGCUGCACCAGGACUCUACACUCGAGGAAAAAGCUUGGAAACGAAAGGAUGCGGGAGAACAAAGAGCCUUUGGAGGACGUGGCUGUUAUCUCAUUGUCUGUGACUGGGGGAGCUGCGGUAGGAAGGAUGCGGUGGUCCUUAGCUCAUCGCUUUCCCCCACCCCCCACCCUCCCCGCUGUCAGUGCGCACGCACACGCGCCGCCAGCUUUUUCUUUCUCAUUCCUCUUUUUCUCAUUCCACCUUCUUCCAUCCCCUCCCUU